rnacentral:rRNA from 1 species
UUGGAGGGCAAGUCUGGUGCCAGCAGCCGCGGUAAUUCCAGCUCCAAUAGCGUAUAUUAAAGUUGUUGCAGUUAAAAAGCUCGUAGUUGAAUUUCGGGAUCAAUAUGCCGGUCAUGCCUUGGUAUGCGCUGGUAUCUUUGAUUUCUCCCUUCUGACGAACUUUGAUGUCAUUAAUUUGGUGUCAUAGGGAAUCAGGACUGUUACUUUGAAAAAAUUAGAGUGUUUAAAGCAAGCUCACGCUUGAAUACAUUAGCAUGGAAUAAUGAAAUAGGACGUUUGAUUCUAUUUUGUUGGUUUCUAGGAUCGACGUAAUGAUUAAUAGGGAUAGUUGGGGGCAUUAGUAUUCAAUUGUCAGAGGUGAAAUUCUUGGAUUUAUUGAAGACUAACUACUGCGAAAGCAUUUGCCAAGGAUGUUUUCAUUAAUCAAGAACGAAAGUUAGGGGAUCGAAGACGAUCAGAUACCGUCGUAGUCUUAACCAUAAACUAUGCCGACUAGGGAUCGGAUGAUGUUAAUUUUUUAAUGACUCAUUCGGCGCCUUACGGGAAACCAAAGUGUUUGGGUUC